rnacentral:rRNA from 1 species
UAUUCCUGUACUUGGUGUUACUGCGAAGGGGGGACGGAGAAGGCUAUGUUGGCCGGGCGACGGUUGUCCCGGUUUAAGCGUGUAGGCUGGUUUUCCAGGCAAAUCCGGAAAAUCAAGGCUGAGGCGUGAUGACGAGGCACUACGGUGCUGAAGCGACAAAUGCCCUGCUUCCAGGAAAAGCCUCUAAGCAUCAGGUAACAUUAAAUCGUACCCCAAACCGACACAGGUGGUCAGGUAGAGAAUACCAAGGCGCUUGAGAGAACUCGGGUGAAGGAACUAGGCAAAAUGGUGCCGUAACUUCGGGAGAAGGCACGCUGAUAUGUAGGUGAAGCGACUUGCUCGUGGAGCUGAAAUCAGUCGAAGAUACCAGCUGGCUGCAACUGUUUAUUAAAAACACAGCACUGUGCAAACACGAAAGUGGACGUAUACGGUGUGACGCCUGCCCGGUGCCGGAAGGUUAAUUGAUGGGGUUAGCGGUAACGCGAAGCUCUUGAUCGAAGCCCCGGUAAACGGCGGCCGUAACUAUAACGGUCCUAAGGUAGCGAAAUUCCUUGUCGGGUAAGUUCCGACCUGCACGAAUGGCGUAAUGAUGGCCAGGCUGUCUCCACCCGAGACUCAGUGAAAUUGAACUCGCUGUGAAGAUGCAGUGUACCCGCGGCAAGACGGAAAGACCCCGUGAACCUUUACUAUAGCUUGACACUGAACAUUGAGCCUUGAUGUGUAGGAUAGGUGGGAGGCUUUGAAGUGUGGACGCCAGUCUGCAUGGAGCCGACCUUGAAAUACCACCCUUUAAUGUUUGAUGUUCUAACGUGGGCCCCUUACCGGGGUUGCGGACAGUGUCUGGUGGGUAGUUUGACUGGGGCGGUCUCCUCCUAAAGAGUAACGGAGGAGCACGAAGGUUGGCUAAUCCUGGUCGGACAUCAGGAGGUUAGUGCAAUGGCAUAAGCCAGCUUGACUGCGAGCGUGACGGCGCGAGCAGGUGCGAAAGCAGGUCAUAGUGAUCCGGUGGUUCUGAAUGGAAGGGCCAUCGCUCAACGGAUAAAAGGUACUCCGGGGAUAACAGGCUGAUACCGCCCAAGAGUUCAUAUCGACGGCGGUGUUUGGCACCUCGAUGUCGGCUCAUCACAUCCUGGGGCUGAAGUAGGUCCCAAGGGUAUGGCUGUUCGCCAUUUAAAGUGGUACGCGAGCUGGGUUUAGAACGUCGUGAGACAGUUCGGUCCCUAUCUGCCGUGGGCGCUGGAGAACUGAGGGGGGCUGCUCCUAGUACGAGAGGACCGGAGUGGACGCAUCACUGGUGUUCGGGUUGUCAUGCCAAUGGCACUGCCCGGUAGCUAAAUGCGGAAGAGAUAAGUGCUGAAAGCAUCUAAGCACGAAACUUGCCCCGAGAUGAGUUCUCCCUGACUCCUUGAGAGUCCUGAAGGAACGUUGAAGACGACGACGUUGAUAGGCCGGGUGUGUAAGCGCAGCGAUGCGUUGAGCUAACCGGUACUAAUGAACCGUGAG